rnacentral:rRNA from 1 species
GACGUAGGAGGCGAGCGUUGUCCGGAUUCAUUGGGCGUAAAGAGCACGCAGGCGGUUUGGCAAGUCGGACGUGAAAAUCCGGGGCUCAACCCCGGACCUGCAUCCGAAACUGCCCGACUAGAGGUAGGUAGGGGAGAUCGGAAUUCCUGGUGUAGCGGUGAAAUGCGCAGAUAUCAGGAGGAACACCGGUGGCGAAGGCGGAUCUCUGGGCCUUACCUGACGCUCAGGUGCGAAAGCUAGGGGAGCAAACGGG